rnacentral:lncRNA from 1 species
GUGAGUGGCCUUGCCUUCACUGUGUCGUCUAGGUCGCUCUGAUACGUAACAGGAUGGGGUUAUUUGCAUGCUUCAUUCUCUUACGUGACUAUCAUGUUUAUGUUUUAUGACGUUGAACAAUUAUGAUGUUUUGUGAAGUUGAUUUAACUCAUUUGAGAUAUUUUGAUGGGGCCUACGUGCCAAACUGAUUUAUGGAUUACGAACUAAAUUCCGCUGCAACGUUUGAAAUAUUUGUUAAAGUUAAAUUGUUAUUUAACUAAUUUUGGACUAUGUUUUGUAUGUGAUAUCCCGUUUAUGCUGAAUACUCUGAUAAAAUGUUUAGAAAUUUUUAUAUUGGGAAAACGGGGUGUUACACAUUUCACCAAACUCCAAGUGCAUGCAAUGUUCUAAAU